AGAGCGAACGCUGGCGGCAGGCUUAACACAUGCAAGUCGAGCGGAUGUAGCAAUACAUCAGCGGCAGACGGGUGAGUAACACGUGGGAACGUACCUUUUGGUUCGGAACAACACAGGGAAACUUGUGCUAAUACCGGAUAAGCCCUUACGGGGAAAGAUUUAUCGCCGAAAGAUCGGCCCGCGUCUGAUUAGCUAGUUGGUGAGGUAAUGGCUCACCAAGGCGACGAUCAGUAGCUGGUCUGAGAGGAUGAUCAGCCACAUUGGGACUGAGACACGGCCCAAACUCCUACGGGAGGCAGCAGUGGGGAAUAUUGGACAAUGGGCGCAAGCCUGAUCCAGCCAUGCCGCGUGAGUGAUGAAGGCCUAGGUUGUAAAGCUCUUUGUGCGGGAAGAUAAUGACGGUACCGCAAGAUAAGCCCGGCUAACUUCGUGCCAGCAGCCGC
rnacentral:rRNA from 1 species